UCCGGUUUGUCACCGGCAGUCUCAUUAGAGUGCCCUUUCGUAGCAACUAAUGACAAGGGUUGCGCUCGUUGCGGGACUUAACCCAACAUCUCACGACACGAGCUGACGACAGCCAUGCAGCACCUGUGUUCCGGUUCCCUUUCGGGCACACCCAGCUCUCACCGGGCUUCCAGACAUGUCAAGGGUAGGUAAGGUUGUUCGCGUUGCAUCGAAUUAAUCCACAUCAUCCACCGCUUGUGCGGGUCCCCGUCAAUUCCUUUGAGUUUUAACCUUGCGGCCGUACUCCCCAGGCGGUCAACUUCACGCGUUAGCUACGGUACUCAGGAAUCGCUUCCCGAACACCCAGUUGACAUGGUUUAGGGCGUGGACUAC
rnacentral:misc_RNA from 1 species